CGAGGGUGAGGGACAGUGUGUUGAGAGGGAGCUCCCGAGGGUGAGGGACGGUGUGUUGAGAGGGAGCUCCCGAGGGUGAGGGACGAGUCUGAGGUGGGCAGAGUCCCAAUGGUCAGAGUCCACUGAUGACGGGUCUGUUACAGGAAGGUGUCAGACUGAGAGCGAUGGACUCUCCGUGUCAGAGGCAGAGGCAACGUCUGGUGAGGAGCCACAGGGGAACAUUGAACAACAGAUGGAAACCAGGCUGAGAAGAGGCCAGGCUGACUCGAGGGAUUUGGAGUGAGGUCGAGGCAGUUUUGGG